AUACGUAGGUGGCGAGCGUUGUCCGGAAUUACUGGGUGUAAAGGGCGUGUAGGCGGGAAUGCAAGUCAGAUGUGAAAUACCGAGGCUUAACUUCGGGGCUGCAUCUGAAACUGUGUUUCUUGAGUGUCGGAGAGGAAAGUGGAAUUCCUAGUGUAGCGGUGAAAUGCGUAGAUAUUAGGAGGAACACCAGUGGCGAAGGCGACUUUCUGGACGAUAACUGACGCUGAGGCGCGAAAGCGUGGGGAGCAAACAGGAUUAGAUACCCUGGUAGUCCACGCCGUAAACGAUGGAUACUAGGUGUAGGAGGUAUCGACCCCUCCUGUGCCGGCGUUAACACAAUAAGUAUCCCACCUGGGGAGUACGACCGCAAGGUUGAA
rnacentral:rRNA from 1 species